AUAAAUAUGUCAUAAUAGCAGCCCACGGCAACAGCCUCCGUGGUAUCGUCAAGCACUUAGAGAGCAUGUCAGAUGCAGCCAUCAUGGAGCUUAACCUGCCCACAGGCAUUCCCAUCGUCUAUGAGCUGGACAAGGACCUGAAGCCCAUCAAACCCAUGCAGUUCCUGGGAGACGAGGAAACAGUGCGCAAAGCCAUGGAGGCUGUGGCCGCCCAGGGCAAGGUCAAAAAGUGAAGAGCUGACACAACCCAGAGACUGAAAUAUCCUGAACCUAAAAGAAAGGGGCGCAUUAUUGGACCCAAGUCUGUUUGAAGACCACCAAAUGAAUGAAAGUGAACACAUGACAUGGACAGGACUGUCACCCCUCCCCCCAAACAUUCUCACAUUUCACCACCAUUUAUAAACCCCCUUGUGUUGGACUGCCCCAUUCUGACACAGGAAAUAAAAGUGAGCACCAUUUUGUGUAC